CCUACGGGAGGCAGCAGUGGGGAAUCUUGCGCAAUGGGCGAAAGCCUGACGCAGCGACGCCGCGUGAGGGAUGAAGGUCUUCGGAUCGUAAACCUCUGUCAGCAGGGAAGAACGGUCACUGUGCUAAUCAGCAGUGAAUCGACGGUACCUGCAAAGGAAGCAACGGCUAACUCCGUGCCAGCAGCCGCGGUAAUACGGAGGGUGCGAGCGUUAAUCGGAAUUACUGGGCGUAAAGCGCUCGUAGGCGGUAUGUCAAGUCAAGGGUGAAAUCCCCGGGCUCAACGUGGGAACUGCCUUUGAAACUGGGAGACUGGAGUGUGUGAGAGGAUAGUGGAAUUCCAGGUGUAGGAGUGAAAUCCGUAGAUAUCUGGAGGAACAUCAGUGGCGAAGGCGACUAUCUGGCACAUAACUGACGCUGAGGAGCGAAAGCGUGGGUAGCAAACAGGAUUAGAUACCCGGGUAGUC
rnacentral:rRNA from 1 species